rnacentral:rRNA from 1 species
UACGGAGGGGGCAAGCGUUAUUCGGAAUUAUUGGGCGUAAAGAGCUCGUAGGCGGUUUGUCGCGUCGAAUGUGAAAACCCGGGGCUCAACCCCGGGCCUGCAUUCGAUACGGGCAGACUAGAGUUCGGUAGGGGAGUCUGGAAUUCCUGGUGUAGCGGUGAAAUGCGCAGAUAUCAGGAGGAACACCGGUGGCGAAGGCGGGACUCUGGGCCGAUACUGACGUUGAGGAGCGAAAGCGUGGGGAGCGAACAGG